rnacentral:rRNA from 1 species
UACAGAGGUCUCAAGCGUUGUUCGGAUUCAUUGGGCGUAAAGGGUGCGUAGGUGGCAUGGUAAGUCGGAUGUGAAAUCCCGGGGCUCAACCCCGGAACUGCAUUCGAUACUGCUGAGCUAGAGUACUGGAGAGGAGAUUGGAAUUUACGGUGUAGCAGUGAAAUGCGUAGAUAUCGUAAGGAAGACCAGUGGCGAAGGCGGAUCUCUGGACAGUUACUGACGCUGAGGCACGAAAGGCCAGGGGAGCAAACGGG